UAGUCCACGCCGUAAACGAUGGAUACUAGCUGUCGGGACUUCGGUCUCGGCGGCCAAGCGAAAGUGAUAAGUAUCCCACCUGGGGAGUACGAUCGCAAGAUUGAAACUCAAAGGAAUUGACGGGGGCCCGCACAAGCGGUGGAGCAUGUGGUUUAAUUCGAUGAUACGCGAGGAACCUUACCAGGGCUUAAAUGUAGGAUGCAUUAGGUAGAGAUACUUAUUUCUUCGGACUUCUUACAAGGUGCUGCAUGGUUGUCGUCAGCUCGUGCCGUGAGGUGUCAGGUUAAGUCCUAUAACGAGCGCAACCCCUGUUGUUAGUUGCCAGCGAGUCAAGUCGGGAACUCUAGCAAGACUGCCGGUGCAAACCGCGAGGAAGGUGGGGACGACGUCAAAUCAUCACGGCCCUUACGUCCUGGGCCACACACGUGCUACAAUGGCCGGUACAGAGGGAAGCCACCACGUAAGUGGGCGCGGAUCUAUAAAACCGGACACAGUUCGGAUCGGGGUCUGCAACUCGA
rnacentral:rRNA from 1 species